GGACACUCCUACUUACACGCAUAGAGAGAGAGAGAGUCGGGGUGAUUGAGCUUCAUCUACGUCGAAAUCGUUUCAGAGUUGAGAGUUCGGGCAUGAAAACAACAACAGAUCUCAAAUAGUUCACAGAAAUAUGGUUCCAUUCCGAUCGCCAAGAGAAACUUUAUGGCGCUCCGAACUCAGUGAUCCCAAUUUUCAACCAUCUGAUCCCAUCCAAUUACUUAUAAUCCCACCAGAUCUCUUCACACGCUCAACACUGGU
rnacentral:lncRNA from 1 species